AUCNCUGGCUCAGGACGAACGCUGGCGGCGUGCUUAACACAUGCAAGUCGAACGGGGUUUAACGAGAAGCUUACUUUUUGUUAAACCUAGUGGCGGACGGGUGAGUAACGCGUGGAUAACCUGCCCAAUAGCCUGGGAUAACGCCGGGAAACCGGUGCUAAUACCGGAUACGUUCACCGGAUUGCAUGGUCCGGUGAAGAAAGGUCCAAACCGCUACUGGAUGGGUCCGCGUCCCAUUAGCUAGUUGGUAGGGUAACGGCCUACCAAGGCGACGAUGGGUAGCCGGCCUGAGAGGGCGACCGGCCACACUGGAACUGAGACACGGUCCAGACUCCUACGGGAGGCAGCAGUGGGGAAUCUUCCGCAAUGGGCGCAAGCCUGACGGAGCAACGCCGCGUGAGUGACGAAGGUCUUCGGAUUGUAAAACUCUGUCCAGAGGGAAGAAGCAAGUGACGGUACCACUGGAGGAAGCCCCGGCUAACUACGUGCCCAGCAGCCGCGGUAAAACGUAGGGGGCGAGCGUUGUCCGGGAAUUACUGGGCGUAAAGGGCGUGUAGGCGGU
rnacentral:rRNA from 1 species